rnacentral:rRNA from 1 species
GACUACUCGGGUAUCUAAUCCUGUUUGCUCCCCACGCUUUCGCACCUCAGUGUCAGUAUCAGUCCAGGUGGUCGCCUUCGCCACUGGUGUUCCUUCCUAUAUCUACGCAUUUCACCGCUACACAGGAAAUUCCACCACCCUCUACCGUACUCGAGUCAUGCAGUUUUGGAUGCAGUUCCCAGGUUGAGCCCGGGGCUUUCACAUCCAACUUACAAAACCACCUACGCGCGCUUUACGCCCAGUAAUUCCGAUUAACGCUUGCACCCUUCGUAUUACCGCGGCUGCUGGCACGAAGUUAGCCGGUGCUUAUUCUGUUGGUAACGUCAAAACAGCAAGGUAUUAACUUACUGCCCUUCCUCCCAACUUAAAGUGCUUUACAAUCCGAAGACCUUCUUCACACACGCGGCAUGGCUGGAUCAGGCUUUCGCCCAUUGUCCAAUAUUCCCCACUGCAGCCACCCGUAGG